GACAGAGGUGCCAAGCGUUAGGCGGAAUCACUGGGCUUAAAGCGUGUGUAGGCGGACUGGUAAGUACCUUGUGAAAUCCCAUAGCUCAACUAUGGAACUGCUUGGUAUACUGCUUGUCUUGAGCCACUUAGGGGCUACCGGAACAAAUGGUGGAGCGGUGAAAUGCGUAGAUAUCAUUUGGAACGCCAAUGGUGAAAACAGGUAGCUGGGAGUGUGCUGACGCUGAGACACGAAAGCCAGGGGAGCGAACGGGG
rnacentral:rRNA from 1 species